rnacentral:rRNA from 1 species
GAUGAACGCUGGCGGCGUGCCUAAUACAUGCAAGUCGAGCGAACGGACGAGAAGCUUGCUUCUCUGAUGUUAGCGGCGGACGGGUGAGUAACACGUGGAUAACCUACCUAUAAGACUGGGAUAACUUCGGGAAACCGGAGCUAAUACCGGAUAAUAUUUUGAACCGCAUGGUUCAAAAGUGAAAGACGGUCGUGCUGUCACGUAUAGAUGGAUCCGCGCUGCAUUAGCUAGUUGGUAAGGUAACGGCUUACCAAGGCAACGAUGCAUAGCCGACCUGAGAGGGUGAUCGGCCACACUGGAACUGAGACACGGUCCAGACUCCUACGGGAGGCAGCAGUAGGGAAUCUUCCGCAAUGGGCGAAAGCCUGACGCAGCAACGCCGCGUGAGUGAUGAAGGUCUUCGGAUCGUAAAACUCUGUUAUUAGGGAAGAACAUAUGUGUAAGUAACUGUGCACAUCUUGACGGUACCUAAUCAGAAAGCCACGGCUAACUACGUG